rnacentral:rRNA from 1 species
CAAUAUAAGUGAUGACGACCGGCGCACGGGUGAGUAACACGUAUCCAACCUGCCGAUAACUCGGGGAUAGCCUUUCGAAAGAAAGAUUAAUACCCGAUGGUAUAAUAAAACCGCAUGGUUUAAUUAUUAAAGAAUUUCGGUUAUCGAUGGGGAUGCGUUCCAUUAGGCAGUUGGUGAGGUAACGGCUCACCAAACCUUCGAUGGAUAGGGGUUCUGAGAGGAAGGUCCCCCACAUUGGAACUGAGACACGGUCCAA